rnacentral:rRNA from 1 species
GACGAACGCUGGCGGCGUGCUUAACACAUGCAAGUCGAACGGAAAGGCCCUGCUUUUGUGGGGUGCUCGAGUGGCGAACGGGUGAGUAACACGUGAGUAACCUGCCCUUGACUUUGGGAUAACUUCAGGAAACUGGGGCUAAUACCGGAUAGGAGCUCCUGCUGCAUGGUGGGGGUUGGAAAGUUUCGGCGGUUGGGGAUGGACUCGCGGCUUAUCAGCUUGUUGGUGGGGUAGUGGCUUACCAAGGCUUUGACGGGUAGCCGGCCUGAGAGGGUGACCGGCAGUGGCGGUGAGGAUGGGCAGCUCAGUCUCUGGCGGGAGGAGUGGGUGGGAAUUGUGGCACGAGGGGGGGUCGCCUGUUGAUGCAGCGCGGGGGGUGGGUGGAGUGUGGUCUGGUUGAACCCGGCGUUGUCAGGUAAGGAGGGGUGGGAGAGGGAAAGGGUAAACGAAGCACAGAACACCUACGGGUCAGCAGCUGUGGUAAGAGAUCGACGAGAACACGGCAAAAC